AGGGUUUCCCCUCUCUCCGAAAAUACUUGUCAUCAAAAUGGAUACAAAUUGAUGUAUCUAGAACUAAAAUACAUCUAGAUACAUUCACUUUGAUCCAUUUUGAUGACAAGUAUUUUCGGACGGAGGGAGUAUAUA
rfam:Triticum urartu cultivar G1812 contig1002762, whole genome shotgun sequence.